UACAGAGGGGGCAAGCGUUGUUCGGAAUUACUGGGCGUAAAGGGCGCGUAGGCGGCCUGCUAAGUCGAACGUGAAAUCCCUGGGCUCAACCCAGGAACUGCGUCCGAUACUGGUUGGCUUGAAUCCGGGAGAGGGAUGUGGAAUUCCAGGUGUAGCGGUGAAAUGCGUAGAUAUCUGGAGGAACACCGGUGGCGAAGGCGACAUCCUGGACCGGUAUUGGCGCUGAGGCGCGAAAGCCAGGGGAGCAAACGGG
rnacentral:rRNA from 1 species